AGUGAACGCUGGCGGCAGGCCUAACACAUGCAAGUCGAGCGGCAGCACGGGGGCAACCCUGGUGGCGAGCGGCGGACGGGUGAGGAACACAUCGGAAUCUACCCUGUCGUGGGGGACAACGUAGGGAAACUUACGCUAAUACCGCAUGAUCUGGAGACAGCAAAGCCGGGGACCGCAAGGCCUGGCGCGAUGGGAUGAGCCGAUGUCCGAUUAGCUAGUUGGCGGGGUAAGAGCCCACCAAGGCGACGAUCGGUAGCUGGUCUGAGAGGA
rnacentral:rRNA from 1 species